ACUCCUGCGGGAGGCAGCAGUGGGGAAUAUUGCACAAUGGGCGCAAGCCUGAUGCAGCCAUGCCGCGUGUAUGAAGAAGGCCUUCGGGUUGUAAAGUACUUUCAGCGGGGAGGAAGGCGAUAAGGUUAAUAACCUUGUUGAUUGACGUUACCCGCAGAAGAAGCACCGGCUAACUCCGUGCCAGCAGCCGCGGUAAUACGGAGGGUGCAAGCGUUAAUCGGAAUUACUGGGCGUAAAGCGCACGCAGGCGGUCUGUCAAGUCGGAUGUGAAAUCCCCGGGCUCAACCUGGGAACUGCAUUCGAAACUGGCAGGCUAGAGUCUUGUAGAGGGGGGUAGAAUUCCAGGUGUAGCGGUGAAAUGCGUAGAGAUCUGGAGGAAUACCGGUGGCGAAGGCGGCCCCCUGGACAAAGACUGACGCUCAGGUGCGAAAGCGUGGGGAGCAAACAGGAUUAGAUACCCCAGUAGUCCCAUGA
rnacentral:rRNA from 1 species